rnacentral:rRNA from 1 species
CCGUGCUACCAUGCUACCCUGAAUAAGCCCAAUCUCGGAAGUUAAGCAGGGUCAGGCCUGGUUAGUACUUGGAUGGGAGACCACCUAGGAAGACCAGGUGCUGUAAAAA